GGCAUAUUGGGCAAUGGGCGAAAGCCUGACCCAGCGACGCCGCGUGAGGGAAGACGGUCUUCGGAUUGUAAACCUCUUUCAGCAGGGAAGAAGAAAGUGACGGUACCUGCAGAAGAAGUCACGGCUAACUACGUGCCAGCAGCCGCGGUAAUACGUAGGUGGCGAGCGUUAUCCGGAAUUACUGGGUGUAAAGGGUGUGUAGGCGGGUCGGCAAGUCAGACGUGAAAAUCAAAGGCUCAACCUUUGACUUGCGUUUGAAACUGUCGAUCUUGAGGAUGGGAGAGGUAAACGGAAUUCCUAGUGUAGUAGUGAAAUGCGUAGAUAUUAGGAGGAACACCGGUGGCGAAGGCGGUUUACUGGACCAUAACUGACGCUGGGACACGAAAGCGUGGGGAGCAAACA
rnacentral:rRNA from 1 species